UACGGAGGGUGCAAACGUUGCUCGGAAUCAUUGGGCGUAAAGCGCACGUAGGCGGACUGCUAAGUCGGACGUGAAAUCCCUCAGCUUAACUGAGGAAGUGCAUUCGAAACUGACAGUCUUGAGUACAGGAGAGGGUCGCGGAAUUCCCGGUGUAGAGGUGAAAUUCGUAGAUAUCGGGAGGAACACCAGUGGCGAAGGCGGCGACCUGGUCCGAUACUGACGCUGAGGCGCGAAAGCUAGGGUAGCAAACGGG
rnacentral:rRNA from 1 species